rnacentral:rRNA from 1 species
UACAGAGGUCUCAAGCGUUGUUCGGAAUCACUGGGCGUAAAGGGUGCGUAGGCCGCGUGGAAAGUCAGAUGUGAAAUCCGGAGGCUCAACCUUCGAAUAGCAUCCGAUACUACCUCGCUAGAGAGCUGUAGGGGGGUUUGGAAUUCUCGGUGUAGCAGUGAAAUGCGUAGAUAUCGAGAAGAACGCUCGUGGCGAAAGCGAAACCCUGGACAGCUUCUGACGCUGAGGCACGAAGGCUAGGGGAGCAAACGGG